UAUCCAAGAAUAGAUUAACUGAGGUUCCUACGGAGUUGUGCCAUUUUGUGUCACUGGAAACACUAAAUCUAUACCACAAUUGUAUUAAAAUUAUACCAGAUGCCAUAGUAAACUUGCAAAUGCUAACUUACUUAAAUUUGAGUCGAAAUCAGCUAUCUUCUUUGCCGGCUUGCCUGUGUGGUCUUCCUCUAAAAGUCUUAAUUGCAAGUAACAAUAAGCUAGGUUCCCUUCCAGAAGAGAUAGGUCAGCUAAAACAGUUAAUGGAGCUGGAUGUCAGCUGUAAUGAAAUCACAGCAUUGCCACAGCAGAUAGGCCAGCUGAAAUCUUUAAAAGAACUGAAUGUCAGAAGAAAUUACCUCGAAGUUUUACCCCAAGAACUAGUACAGCUUCCCUUGGUAAAGUUCGACUUUUCCUGCAAUAAAGUGCUUGUAAUUCCAAUUUGUUUUAGAAAGAUGGUGCAGUUACAAGUAUUACUGCUUGAGAAUAAUCCUUUGCAGUCUCCACCAGCACAAAUUUGUACAAAGGGUAAGGUGCAUAUAUUCAAAUAUCUGACUGUACAGGCCUGUCAGAUUAAAACAGCAGAUUCACUGUAUCUUAAUGCCAUAGAACAACAGCAUUUGCCACAACCUGUGGAAGAGAGCAUUGAUGACAUCUACCCAAGUAAAAAGGACUCAGAUUCAGGUGUUGGUAGUGAUAAUGGAGAUAAACGUUUGUCAGCAACAGAGCCAUCUGAUGAAGAUACUGUCAGCUUUAAUGUUCCAAUGUCAGACAUCGUGGAAGAAGAUCAGGUUAUAAAGGAAGAUUCAGUUCACCAUGCUAAUUCAAGAAAAGUGGAAUUCCAUCAGGGAUCUCACUUGAUUGUCAACGAUAAGUCAAGAGAAACAGGAAACCAGUUUGAUGAAUCGGAUACCCUUACUACUGAAUUUAUGAGUUACAUUAAGAGCAGAGCAGCUGAGUGUGAUGAACUAUUGAGAAUAGAAGAGGACACACAAUGGCAAACAGACGAAAUAAUAAAUUUAUCAGAAGAACAAACUAUUGAUAUAGCAAUGAUAGAACAACUAAGAGAAGCAGUAGAUUUGUUACAGGAUCCCAACAGCACUCAAAUGCAGAUGGACAUGUCUUCCCUUGGUCAGAGAGAAAAUGCUGAAGAGGAACUAGAAUUUCAGAGAAGGAGGGAAUUGAUAAUGGAAAAAGCAAAGCCUGAAGUGAGAACUUGUGAACAGAGUGAAAAAUGGUCAUUGAGUCAGAAUGAUGUAAUUGUUUGGAAUACAAGCGGGCAAGCCUCUCACAACGAGAACAAGGAUAAAAGUCCGACAAUGUCUCCUACUACAAACACUACAAUCCCUUUUGGCCUGAAGCCACGAUCAGACCCAUCCCUCAGUCUUCCUCCUAUCUCCUUCAACACACUUACACAGGCACAAACAUGGGACAACUUUAGCUACAGUAUCCCAUCUGAAGGAGACAGUGACAAUGUGUUCUUAAGACCACAAAGAAAUUUGGAAUCCAUAGACCCCCAAUUUACAAUUCGAAGGAAAAUGGAGCAGUUGAGAGAAGAGAGAGAACUUGUGGAACAGCUCCGUGAGAACAUAGAAACAAGACUAAAGAUUUGUUUGCCUGAAGACUUGGGAUCUGCUCUGAUGGAUGGUGUGGUUCUCUGCCAUUUAGUAAAUCACGUUCGUCCUCGGUCUGUAGGAAGUAUUCAUGUACCUUCACCAGCAGUACCUAAACUUAGCAUGGCCAAAUGCAGGAGAAAUGUGGAAAACUUUCUGGAUGCAUGUAGAAAACUGGGGAUACCAGAGGCUGACCUCUGCUCUCCGUAUGACAUCCUGCAGUCGGAUAUUCAUCACAUUCGAAAGACUGUUGACUCUCUGCUCGCCCUCGGGGAGAAAACCCCACAAUCAACUUCUACCUUUCGCUCCUGGGAUCUAAUAGGCUUUUGUCUUUUCCACAUACUUUUUAUAGUCUUGAUGUAUAUAACUUAUCACUGGAAUGUGCUAACAGCAUAACCUGUUCGCAUGUGCACACAAACUUUCUGCUUUGUCUCUGACAAAUUACAGGAGAAGCUCUGCCUUCCACACCACAUCCUAGAAGAAAAGGGCUUGGUAAAAGUGAGCAUAACAGUUCAAGCGUUGCUAGACGUAACCACAGUGAAACAAGCUUUAUUCACAUGAACCUACUCUCUCUCGGCUGUUACCAGCUCCACUGUGCCAUCCAGGAAUCAAAAUACUGCCCGUCUUUUCAAACUGCUUUGGAAAAAAACACACCAAAAUCAAAAACAAACAACAAAAAAAAAAUACUUCUGAUUUUCAGAACGACGAAGCGGAAACUCCAGAGAAACUUUUUCUAGAGCGAACCGGCGCUUCACUGCUUUUAUAGCUCACUUUGUACAGUAAUUAACAAAAACAGCCACCUCUCUGCCACUUAAAACCGUGUGGAGUACCCAGCUGUCUUGCAGCAAGAUACCUUCCUAUUAUUAAACUAAGAAUCAUUGUAAUCUUUUUUUUUUUUUGGGGGGGGGGGGGGGGGAGGAGGGAGAGUAAAUCAGAUUUCCGUCACGUUAGGUUUUUCUGCAGUUGCUUCAGGCUAUUGCCUUUUAAAAAAUAUCCAGACAUAAAAUAUUUAUAUAAAUAUUAUUUAUUAGUGAGUUGUUAUUCAUCCUUUGGAUGCAAACUGUAAAUUAGGAAACUGUAUUUUAUUACUGCUUUUUUGUGGUUAAACACUUUAUUUUAAUAUAAAUAUUUAGUUAUUUUUUAUUCUCCUUGGUGUGCAGUAGGUCUAGAUCUCCGUAAAUUGUAUUUUCUAAGAUGUAAGAUAAAAAGCAAACAAAAUAGGUGCUUUUAUUAAAAGAACAGCUAGCUGGAAUGGCAUUCUUUAUUUCUUGAAUUUGUGGAACAUUGGUAAACAACAUUUAUCUGCAUUCCAUUGAGUUUCCAACAUUCCAGUAGCACUUUCUGCUCCCCCCUCCAUAGACUAAAUUGGCUGAAACUGAGAGCACACCCAUUUUAUUUGUAUAUAGAUGUUUAAAAAAAAAAAAAAAAAGAAAAAAAAGGAAAGACAUAAACUUGAAAAAUAAAUGUGAACACAUAUUUUUGAUUGCUUAUUUUACUAUGCACAAGACAUUUAACUUUUGCCACAACGAAACGAAUGAUGCGCGUUAGGAAUCAUGUGUCUUGAAAGAUAAUUUUGCACUGUAACUUGAUUUCUUCUGAAGACUACAGCACUACAGAACAAAUAAUAAAUUUAAAAAAAAAAAUAGCACAAGGCCAUCAGCGAGCAUUUACCAGGUAGCCAAAAAAAAAUUUUUUUUGAUUUUUUUUCUUCAACGAUUCCUUGCAGAGGAGAUAGAAGUUAUUAAAAUCACCAAAGGUGGUCUUGAAGACCCCAUCCUCCCGAGAGCCGCCCUCGCUUUCCUACGCAAUGAAGCACAAUGUUCUGUAGCCAACGUUUGGGGGUCAGACCUCUCAUCCCACCUCAGCAAUAUAGGAAAUAAGCUGCUUUUUUCUUAUCACUACUUUGCUUUUUUAAAGAAUUUUGGGAUUUUUUUGGUUUGUUUUUUUUUUUUUUUUUUUUUUUUUUCUAAAAGCGUAAUUUAUUAUUAAAACAUCACACGUUUUAGAUCCAGAAGUUCCACCUGGGGCCGUCCCAUUUUUUUCUUUGCCAGGAGAAGGCGGUGGUGGGCCUGGGGCAAGAGGCAGAGGAGAAGCCGCAUGUGGUGCAAGGGCUGCUGGGAGGGGUGCGCGCAGGCAGGGAGUUGGAAAUGCACAACGACGCAAAAAAAUAAGAAAUAAGAGGCAGAGUGUGGUGGGAGGAUGAAAUAUUUGAGGCGAGAGAAGGUGGAGAGGACUGUUGGGUAAGGAUUUGGGGGAAGAAUGACGCAGACUCGUCACUGCUGGGUAUCCAGGGGAAGUUACACGCACAUUCAGGCAGGCGCUGCGUUUGAGCCCACCGCUGUUCCAAUAACCAAUUACCAAUUUAGUGGCAAAUACACUAUUUGACUGCAAACUAUGCCUUUUAAUACCACCAACUGCCCCUGUGCUGGUAGGAGCAGGCGAGCGAGGCGAGGUCUCAGACCCAGAGUAUGCAGGGAACAGCCAGUUCCUUCAACCAAAGCCAAAAGCGUUUUAUUUUCUAGAGGGGAACGUCGACUUCAAAUGGUAAUUUUGAUUGGCAGCUAGCGUAUUGUUUCCUAGAAAAUGUAUACUGUGCACUUUAACACUAAAUUAAAAUGUAUUUUAAUAUUUUACAGAGCUGCACAAAUAUCUGUUUUGUCAAAAAAAAAAAAAAAAGCACGAGCAAUGUAAAGAAAAUACGUUUUCGAGUCAGAGUUUAUCAAAUUUUAAAAGCAUUCAAAGAUCGAGUAUAAAAAUAGGAAUAUUGAUUUCUGCAUCUUGAGGGAUAAAAUGCAGGUUUCCUGAGUAUUUUUUUACAAUGUAUAUAUGGCAACAUGAAGCUUUGUAAUUAUUAUUUUGACAAAUCUUGUUUUUUCAUAAUUAAACUUUUGGUUUUCUCCUGAUAGCGUCUCUUCAGUAUUUGCUUGACGUUGGCUGUAAAUAAAUAGCUCUAAAUAUUUUGUAAUACGGCUUUUUUUUUUUUUUUUAAAUGCAGUCUUAACCUGUACACCUAAAAAGAAGAAUCUUCAUGAAUCUUUGUAUACUAUUUAUAUGUGCAAUAAAACAUGCAUGGCAAAUCUAUACUACCCUCAGCAGUGAACAUAAUGUAUAUAGAAAAUCUUUACUGUAGUUACAAUUAAACUCUAUUAUUUG